AUUGAACGCUGGCGGCAGGCCUAACACAUGCAAGUCGAACGAGUGGCGGACGGGUGAGUAAUGUCUUGGAAACUACCUUAUGGAGGGGGAUAACUACUGGAAACGGUAGCUAAUACCGCAUACCAUCAGAUGUGCCCAGAUGGGAUUAGGUAGUUGGUGGGGUAACGGCUCACCAAGGCGACGAUCCCUAGCUGGUCUGAGAGGAUGACCAGCCAAACUGGAACGGAGACACGGUCCAAACUCCUACGGGAGGCAGCAGUGGGGAAUAUUGCACAAGGGGCGCAAGCCUGAUGCAGCCAUGCCGCGUGUAUGAAGAAGGCCUUCGGUUUGUAAAGUACUGUCAGCGGGGAGGCGUUACCCGCAGAAGAAGCACCGGCUAACUCCGUGCCAGCCGCCGCGGUAAUUC
rnacentral:rRNA from 1 species